rnacentral:rRNA from 1 species
UCCUACGGGAGGCAGCAGUGGGGAAUAUUGGACAAUGGGGGGAACCCUGAUCCAGCCAUGCCGCGUGUGUGAAGAAGGCCCUCGGGUUGUAAAGCACUUUCAGCGAGGAAGAACGCCUAGCGGUUAAUACCCGCUAGGAAAGACAUCACUCGCAGAAGAAGCACCGGCUAACUCCGUGCCAGCAGCCGCGGUAAUACGGAGGGUGCAAGCGUUAAUCGGAAUUACUGGGCGUAAAGCGCGCGUAGGUGGCUUGAUAAGCCGGUUGUGAAAGCCCCGGGCUCAACCUGGGAACGGCAUCCGGAACUGUCAAGCUAGAGUGCAGGAGAGGAAGGUAGAAUUCCCGGUGUAGCGGUGAAAUGCGUAGAGAUCGGGAGGAAUACCAGUGGCGAAGGCGGCCUUCUGGACUGACACUGACACUGAGGUGCGAAAGCGUGGGUAGCAAACAGGAUUAGAUACCCUGGUAGUCCACGCCGUAAACGAUGUCGACCAGCCGUUGGGUGCCUAGCGCACUUUGUGGCGAAGUUAACGCGAUAAGUCGACCGCCUGGGGAGUACGGCCGUAAGGUUAAAACUCAAAUGAAUUGACGGGGGCCCGCACAAGCGGUGGAGCAUGUGGUUUAAUUCGAUGCAACGCGAAGAACCUUACCUACUCUUGACAUCCUGCGAAUUUGGUAGAGAUACCUUAGUGCCUUCGGGAACGCAGAGACAGGUGCUGCAUGGCUGUCGUCAGCUCGUGUUGUGAAAUGUUGGGUUAAGUCCCGUAACGAGCGCAACCCUUGUCCUUAUUUGCCAGCCCGUAAUGGCGGACUCUAGGAACUGCGUGACAACGAGGAGUGGGACGACUCAGUCAUCAUGCCCUUACAUAGGCUACACGUGCCUACAUGGU